rnacentral:rRNA from 1 species
ACGCUCGACACCUACGGGGGGCAGCAGUGGGGAAUAUUGCACAAUGGGGGAAACCCUGAUGCAGCGACGCCGCGUGAAGGAAGAAGUAUUUCGGUAUGUAAACUUCUAUCAGCAGGGAAGAAAAUGACGGUACCUGAGUAAGAAGCACCGGCUAAAUACGUGCUAGCAGCCGCGGUAAUCUGAGCGGGCUGGCAAGGC